UUAAGCGACUAAGCGUACACGGUGGAUGCCCUGGCAGUCAGAGGCGAUGAAGGACGUGCUAAUCUGCGAUAAGCGUCGGUAAGGUGAUAUGAACCGUUAUAACCGGCGAUUUCCGAAUGGGGAAACCCAGUGUGAUUCGUCACACUAUCAUUAACUGAAUCCAUAGGUUAAUGAGGCGAACCGGGGGAACUGAAACAUCUAAGUACCCCGAGGAAAAGAAAUCAACCGAGAUUCCCCCAGUAGCGGCGAGCGAACGGGGAGGAGCCCAGAGCCUGAAUCAGUGUGUGUGUUAGUGGAAGCGUCUGGAAAGGCGUGCGAUACAGGGUGACAGCCCCGUACACAAAAAUGCACAUGCUGUGAGCUCGAUGAGUAGGGCGGGACACGUGGUAUCCUGUCUGAAUAUGGGGGGACCAUCCUCCAAGGCUAAAUACUCCUGACUGACCGAUAGUGAACCAGUACCGUGAGGGAAAGGCGAAAAGAACCCCGGCGAGGGGAGUGAAAAAGAACCUGAAACCGUGUACGUACAAGCAGUGGGAGCCUCUUUAAUGGGGUGACUGCGUACCUUUUGUAUAAUGGGUCAGCGACUUAUAUUCUGUAGCAAGGUUAACCGAAUAGGGGAGCCGAAGGGAAACCGAGUCUUAACUGGGCGUUAAGUUGCAGGGUAUAGACCCGAAACCCGGUGAUCUAGCCAUGGGCAGGUUGAAGGUUGGGUAACACUAACUGGAGGACCGAACCGACUAAUGUUGAAAAAUUAGCGGAUGACUUGUGGCUGGGGGUGAAAGGCCAAUCAAACCGGGAGAUAGCUGGUUCUCCCCGAAAGCUAUUUAGGUAGCGCCUCGUGAAUUCAUCUCCGGGGGUAGAGCACUGUUUCGGCAAGGGGGUCAUCCCGACUUACCAACCCGAUGCAAACUGCGAAUACCGGAGAAUGUUAUCACGGGAGACACACGGCGGGUGCUAACGUCCGUCGUGAAGAGGGAAACAACCCAGACCGCCAGCUAAGGUCCCAAAGUCAUGGUUAAGUGGGAAACGAUGUGGGAAGGCCCAGACAGCCAGGAUGUUGGCUUAGAAGCAGCCAUCAUUUAAAGAAAGCGUAAUAGCUCACUGGUCGAGUCGGCCUGCGCGGAAGAUGUAACGGGGCUAAACCAUGCACCGAAGCUGCGGCAGCGACACUAUGUGUUGUUGGGUAGGGGAGCGUUCUGUAAGCCGUUGAAGGUGGCCUGUGAGGGUUGCUGGAGGUAUCAGAAGUGCGAAUGCUGACAUAAGUAACGAUAAAGCGGGUGAAAAGCCCGCUCGCCGGAAGACCAAGGGUUCCUGUCCAACGUUAAUCGGGGCAGGGUGAGUCGACCCCUAAGGCGAGGCCGAAAGGCGUAGUCGAUGGGAAACAGGUUAAUAUUCCUGUACUUGGUGUUACUGCGAAGGGGGGACGGAGAAGGCUAUGUUGGCCGGGCGACGGUUGUCCCGGUUUAAGCGUGUAGGCUGAUUUUCCAGGCAAAUCCGGAGAAUCAAGGCUGAGGCGUGAUGACGAGGCACUACGGUGCUGAAGCAACAAAUGCCCUGCUUCCAGGAAAAGCCUCUAAGCAUCAGGUAACAUCAAAUCGUACCCCAAACCGACACAGGUGGUCAGGUAGAGAAUACCAAGGCGCUUGAGAGAACUCGGGUGAAGGAACUAGGCAAAAUGGUGCCGUAACUUCGGGAGAAGGCACGCUGAUAUGUAGGUGAAGCGACUUGCUCGUGGAGCUGAAAUCAGUCGAAGAUACCAGCUGGCUGCAACUGUUUAUUAAAAACACAGCACUGUGCAAACACGAAAGUGGACGUAUACGGUGUGACGCCUGCCCGGUGCCGGAAGGUUAAUUGAUGGGGUCAGCCGCAAGGCGAAGCUCUUGAUCGAAGCCCCGGUAAACGGCGGCCGUAACUAUAACGGUCCUAAGGUAGCGAAAUUCCUUGUCGGGUAAGUUCCGACCUGCACGAAUGGCGUAAUGAUGGCCAGGCUGUCUCCACCCGAGACUCAGUGAAAUUGAACUCGCUGUGAAGAUGCAGUGUACCCGCGGCAAGACGGAAAGACCCCGUGAACCUUUACUAUAGCUUGACACUGAACAUUGAGCCUUGAUGUGUAGGAUAGGUGGGAGGCUUUGAAGUGUGGACGCCAGUCUGCAUGGAGCCGACCUUGAAAUACCACCCUUUAAUGUUUGAUGUUCUAACGUGGACCCGUGAUCCGGGUUGCGGACAGUGUCUGGUGGGUAGUUUGACUGGGGCGGUCUCCUCCUAAAGAGUAACGGAGGAGCACGAAGGUUGGCUAAUCCUGGUCGGACAUCAGGAGGUUAGUGCAAUGGCAUAAGCCAGCUUGACUGCGAGCGUGACGGCGCGAGCAGGUGCGAAAGCAGGUCAUAGUGAUCCGGUGGUUCUGAAUGGAAGGGCCAUCGCUCAACGGAUAAAAGGUACUCCGGGGAUAACAGGCUGAUACCGCCCAAGAGUUCAUAUCGACGGCGGUGUUUGGCACCUCGAUGUCGGCUCAUCACAUCCUGGGGCUGAAGUAGGUCCCAAGGGUAUGGCUGUUCGCCAUUUAAAGUGGUACGCGAGCUGGGUUUAGAACGUCGUGAGACAGUUCGGUCCCUAUCUGCCGUGGGCGCUGGAGAACUGAGGGGGGCUGCUCCUAGUACGAGAGGACCGGAGUGGACGCAUCACUGGUGUUCGGGUUGUCAUGCCAAUGGCACUGCCCGGUAGCUAAAUGCGGAAGAGAUAAGUGCUGAAAGCAUCUAAGCACGAAACUUGCCCCGAGAUGAGUUCUCCCUGAGACUUUAAGUCUCCUGAAGGAACGUUGAAGACGACGACGUUGAUAGGCCGGGUGUGUAAGCGCAGCGAUGCGUUGAGCUAACCGGUACUAAUGAACCGUGAGGCUUAACCU
rnacentral:rRNA from 1 species